UUUCCAUAUGUGAACCUGCGGAAGGAUCAUUACUGAAUUUGAACCACCUUUCAGUCUUGCUGGCUUUGCAAGUGCACACUGUCUGGUUUCAUCCAACACCCUUGUGGACCUUUGGCCUUGCGUUGUAAUCUUUACGCGUGAGGAUUUUACACAAACUCGUAUGUAAAAGAAUGUAGAUCUAGUGCGUAAGCACAAAAUAAACAACUUUCAACAACGGAUCUCUUGGCUCUCGCAUCGAUGAAGAACGCAGC
rnacentral:misc_RNA from 1 species